rnacentral:rRNA from 1 species
UAAACUGGGAUUAGAUACCCCACUAUUUUUAUUAAAAAAUUUUUAGUAGUAAGUGAAAAUCAUGAAACUAAAAAUUUUUGGCGGUAUUUUUUAACUAAUUUGAGGAAUUUAUUCUUUAAAGGAUUAAACACCAAAAUCUUACUUUUAUUGGUAUUAAUAUAACAACUUGUAUAUCUCUUUUUAUUAAUAAUAUAUAGAAAUAUAUUUCAAAUUCUUUUAAAAAGAAAGUUUUUAGGCCAAGGUGCAGUUUUUGUAAAAGAAUGAAAUAAAUUAUAUUUAAUUAAUAUUUUACAAAAUUUAUUUUGUAAUUUAAUUAAUUUAGAAAAAUUUAAAAGUAAAAA